CUGAGAGUUUGAUCCUGGCUCAGGACGAACGCUGGCGGCGCGCUUAAUGCAUGCAAGUCGAACGGUGAACCCCGCAAGGGGGGAUCAGUGGCGAACGGCUGAGUAACGCGUAAGUAACCUACCCCUGGGCGGGGGAUACUCCACCGAAAGGUGGACUAAUACCGCAUGUGCUGCCCCAUCGCAAGAUGGGUCUGCAAAGGCUUCGGCCACCUGGGGAUGGGCUUGCGUCCUAUCAGGUAGUUGGUGGGGUAAUGGCUCACCAAGCCUCUGACGGGUAGCUGGUCUGAGAGGACGACCAGCCAGAGGGGGACUGCGACACGGCCCCCACUCCUACGGGAGGCAGCAGCAGGGAAUUUUGCGCAAUGGGCGAAAGCCUGACGCAGCGACGCCGCGUGGGGGAAGAAGGCCUUCGG
rnacentral:rRNA from 1 species